GAUGAACGCUGGCGGCGUGCCUAAUACAUGCAAGUCGAGCGAACAGACGAGGAGCUUGCUCCUCUGACGUUAGCGGCGGACGGGUGAGUAACACGUGGAUAACCUACCUAUAAGACUGGGAUAACUUCGGGAAGCAGGAGCUAAUACCGGAUAAUAUAUUGAACCGCAUGGUUCAAUAGUGAAAGACGGUUUUGCUGUCACUUAUAGAUGGAUCCGCGCCGCAUUAGCUAGUUGGUAAGGUAACGGCUUACCAAGGCGACGAUGCGUAGCCGAUCUGAGAGGAUGAUCGGCCACACUGGAACUGAGACACGGUCCAGACUCCUACGGGAGGCAGCAGUAGGGAAUCUUCCGCAAUGGGCGAAAGCCUGACGGAGCCACGCCGCGUGAGUGAUGAAGGUCUUCGGAUCGUAAAACUCUUUUAUUAGGGAAGAAAAAAUGUGUAAGUAACUAUGCACGUCUUGACGGUACCUAAUCAGAAAGCCACGGCUAACUACGUG
rnacentral:rRNA from 1 species